CGGGAGGCAGCAGUGGGGAAUAUUGGACAAUGGGNGCAAGCCUGAUCCAGCCAUGCCGCGUGUGUGAAGAAGGCCUUAGGGUUGUAAAGCACUUUCAGUGGGGAGGAAGGCCUUAAAGUUAAUAGCCUUGAGGAUUGACGUUACCUACAGAAGAAGCACCGGCUAACUCCGUGCCAGCAGCCGCGGUAAUACGGAGGGUGCGAGCGUUAAUCGGAAUUACUGGGCGUAAAGCGCGCGUAGGCGGUUAGUUAAGCUGGAUGUGAAAGCCCUGGGCUCAACCUGGGAACUGCAUUCAGAACUGGCUGGCUAGAGUACGAGAGAGGGUAGUGGAAUUUCCUGUGUAGCGGUGAAAUGCGUAGAUAUAGGAAGGAACAUCAGUGGCGAAGGCGAAUGCCUGGCU
rnacentral:rRNA from 1 species